GAACAAGAAUGAGAAGGGGGCAAUGCUUGUGGAGGAUGUUCGAGCCAAGAGAAGUGUUUUGGUGGAGAAAGCACCCAAGAGUAGAAAAGCUUUCCAAUGGUUAGAGUGCUGUUUCCGACCUCCAUGAGUUUUUGAGGUAUCGUCGAGCUCUAGACGUUAAAUUAAGCACUUGUUGGGAGGUAACCCAACCGUUUUCUUUGUUUUGUUUUCCUUUCGUUUAGUUUCUUUUUGUUUCUUUGUUUUCUUUGUUUUCUUGGUUUUCUUUGUUUUGGGGUUUUUAGUGCAGCGUUGAGCUUGGAAGAUGCGGGAACUCGCGCCUUUUUCAUACCACCACCGUGGAGCAUGUGUUUCUGUGAGUAGUGACACACAUAUCAUCAUCCCUCCAAACUUAUUUUCGAACUUAUGUUCUGUAAUAAGUUUGGGGGAGGGGGGUGAGAGUAGAUAUGUGUAUCACUUUUAUCUUUUUGUUAGCUUUAUUGUUUUAUCCUGCUUGGUUGGUGGUGUGUGAUUGUUUUUGAGAUGAUUAUUACUCCAUUAGAUUUCUGGUAAGAUGUCAAUGAUGAUUUCUGCGGAAAAAAAUUUGGAGUUUGAUUUUCUUUGAUGAUUUAAGUAUAAUUGGAACUAAUUUGCAUAAUUCUAGAGUGAUUUUGACCUUGACUUUUGGACGUUGAAUAAACCUGUGAGAUUUUGAGCCAUAACUGUUUUUCAUACGCAGUUUAUUCUUUGUUGUGAGUUUUGUCAUGCAUGUGGUGAUCUUCUAGAACUUGCCAUGGUUUCUGUGUCGAGGUUGCUGUUGUGCCCAGGAUUAUGAGAUGAUUUUAGGCCAUCUUUUGUUAGCCACAAUUUUUCCCAAACACUAUCCUUGAAAGAUUUAUCCUUUGUUAUCCACUUUGAGCCUAUUUAGCUUUUAUU
rnacentral:lncRNA from 1 species